GAAAUAUGCUAUUCAACGGCUUCAAGAAUCUUCUAUUUAUCAAAAUCUAUAAAUUUGAUCUCUCUGUUAGUAUUGCUGAUUCAUUUGUUUUCAUAAGAAGUUUAUACCAAAUUAAUCAUUACAGGAAUAAAACACAAGAUAUAAAGAUGUGAUGGAGGGGUUCGGAGGACUUCUUAUACCACCUGGAACAUUACAUAUUUAUGCAAAUCUCAUCCAUUAAACUAAACAAUUAUCAUUGAUUAAACAAUUGUUUUUAAUUCAUUAAAUUCUUUGAUCUGAAUACACUCAGCUGUCUUAUGAAAUGAGCAUUGAUGUAUAUCAAUAUCUAUUUACAUCAUAUAAUCACUUUGUUUAAGUGUAAUCAAAUUUACAACUGUGUAGUUGAUAUAUAAAGCAAGAAAUAGUCAUGUAAGUGUUUAAAAUGUACAUCUGAUUUCGUUUCAUCAGGAUGCUUGGUUGCAGUAUAUAUCAGACCUAAUUGAUAUUCAAUAGUAUAAGAUGUUUAAACAUGUAGAUUUAAAAACAUGAAAUGUAUUUUUUACCAUUGCAAA